GACGUAGGGUGCAAGCGUUGUCCGGAUUUACUGGGCGUAAAGAGCGCGUAGGCGGUCUUGUAAGUGUGAAGUGAAAUCUCCAGGGCUCAACCCGGAAACUGCUUUGCAUACUGCGAGACUAGAGGGAUGCAGAGGUUUGUGGAAUUCCUGGUGUAGCGGUGAAAUGCGCAGAUAUCAGGAAGAACACCCGUGGCGAAGGCGGCUCUCUGGGACGGUACUGACGCUGAGACGCGAAAGCGUGGGGAGCGAACAGG
rnacentral:rRNA from 1 species